AGUCGCCGCGGUAACACGUAGGUCCCGAGCGUUGUUCGGAUUUAUUGGGCGUAAAGCGAGCGCAGGCGGUUAGAUAAGUCUGAAGUUAAAGGCUGUGGCUUAACCAUAGUAUGCUUUGGAAACUGUUUAACUUGAGUGCAGAAGGGGGGAGUGGAAUUCCAUGUGUAGCGGUGAAAUGCGUAGAUAUAUGGAGGAACACCGGUGGCGAAAGCGGCUCUCUGGUCUGUAACUGACGCUGAGGCUCGAAAGCGUGGGGAGCAAACAGGAUUAGAUACCCCCGUAGUCCCUGUCUCUUAUACAC
rnacentral:rRNA from 1 species